rnacentral:rRNA from 1 species
UACGAAGGGGGGCUAGCGUUGCUCGGAAUCACUGGGCGUAAAGCGCACGUAGGCGGCUUUCUAAGUCAGGGGUGAAAUCCUGGAGCUCAACUCCAGAACUGCCUUUGAUACUGGAGAGCUUGAGUCCGGGAGAGGUGAGUGGAACUCCGAGUGUAGAGGUGAAAUGCGUAGAUAUCAGGAGGAACACCUGUGGUGUAGACGGCUCUCUGGACCGCAACUGACGCUGAGACACGAAAAGCGUGGGUAGCAAACGGGAUUAGAACCCUACGU